rnacentral:rRNA from 1 species
CCUACGGGUGGCAGCAGUGAGGAAUAUUGGUCAAUGGACGAGAGUCUGAACCAGCCAAGUAGCGUGAAGGAUGACUGCCCUAUGGGUUGUAAACUUCUUUUAUAAAGGAAUAAAACGAGGCACGUGUGCCCUUUUGCAUUUACUUUAUGAAUAAGGAUCGGCUAACUCCGUGCCAGCAGCCGCGGUAAUACGGAGGAUCCGAGCGUUAUCCGGAUUUAUUGGGUUUAAAGGGAGCGUAGAUGGGUUGUUAAGUCAGUUGUGAAAGUUUGCGGCUCAACCGUAAAAUUGCAAUUGAUACUGGCAGUCUUGAGUACAGUUGAGGUAGGCGGAAUUCGUGGUGUAGCGGUGAAAUGCUUAGAUAUCACGAAGAACACCGAUUGCGAAGGCAGCUUACUAAACUGUGACUGACAUUGAUGCUCGAAAGUGUGGGUAUCAAACAGGAUUAGAUACCCGAGUAGUC